ensembl:snRNA U6 U6 spliceosomal RNA
GUGUCUGCUUCAGCAUCACAUAUACUAAAAUUGGAAUGAUACAAAGAAGAUUAGCAUGGCCUCUGCUCAAGGAUGGCAUGCAAAUUUGUGAAAUGUUCCAUAUUUUU